AUUGAACGCUGGCGGCAUGCCUUACACAUGCAAGUCGAACGGUAACAGGUCUUCGGAUGCUGACGAGUGGCGAACGGGUGAGUAAUACAUCGGAACGUGCCCGAUCGUGGGGGAUAACGAGGCGAAAGCUUUGCUAAUACCGCAUACGAUCUACGGAUGAAAGCGGGGGAUCUUCGGACCUCGCGCGGACGGAGCGGCCGAUGGCAGAUUGGGUAGUUGGUGGGAUAAAAGCUUACCAAGCCGACGAUCUGUAGCUGGUCUGAGAGGAUGAUCAGCCACACUGGGACUGAGACACGGCCCAGACUCCUACGGGAGGCAGCAGUGGGGAAUUUUGGACAAUGGGCGAAAGCCUGAUCCAGCCAUGCCGCGUGCAGGAUGAAGGCCUUCGGGUUGUAAACUGCUUUUGUACGGAACGAAAAGCCUCUUUCUAAUAAAGAGGGGUCAUGACGGUACCGUAAGAAUAAGCACCGGCUAACUACGUG
rnacentral:rRNA from 1 species